GCCCCGGUAGCCCAGCGGUAGAGGCAAUGGAUUCAAAACCCAUUCAGCGUCGGUUCGAAUCCGACCCGGGGUAC
rnacentral:tRNA from 1 species